CUAGCCUGCCACCUGUUUUUGUAAAGUUUUAUUGGAACACAGACACACUUGUUUUUUCUUGCAAUCUAUGGUUGCUUUUGCACUAAAACCACAGAGCUGAGUAGUUGCAAAAAACUUUAUGGCCCCACCCACUGCCUGAAGUAAAUAUUGGGUUCACAGCUUUUUACUCACCUCUGCUCUAUUGGGAAUCCAAGUUUGCUGGGUGAUACCAGCUUGGAUAUAAAAUCCUUAAAGUCCAUACAGCUGUUAACAAAAAAUGCCUUCUAAAAAGGCUGAUAUCUUUCCUCUUUGUCUAAAGAGCUAUAACAAGAAGUACAAGGAACGUUUAUGUGAUUUCAAUCUAUGGGUUCCCACUUGAAAGGUCAACAACCUUCUAGAACAGAAACGCAGAUCAGAUUCACGACAAACAGCAGAAAGGUAACAAUAGCAACUGUACAAUAGCACCAGCAUUCAGUAACCAAACACUUUUCUGAUCAAAACGAUCAUCUCCAAAGAGACUAAUUCUAUCCUGGGUCUCUGUCAUCAUUUUAAUCUUUUCUUCUUACAAUAGAGAUUCAGCAGUACACCAUCACCUACCUGAUGUAAAACUUAAACGGAGUCAGAUUUGCCCAAACUACCACCAUUCACAAAAUAAACUAGGUACCUCUAUUUCACAAGUGAAAUAGUCCCUUCUACACAACCUAUAAAAUCUUACAUCCUUUUUUCUUAGUUUACCAGGAACAAUGGAUCUACUUAAUCUGUUUCAAUUCCAGAGAUGUUCAGCUUGAUGAGGGCACACAAGACUUUAUAUUUAAAAAGAGUAUUUGAAGGAAAGAUGCCAAAAGUAGAAACCAAGCAACUUUGGUUCAGCAAAAGGUCACAGACCACACAUCACUGAUCUCCAGGAUAAAACAGUUGUUUCAACAAAUAACUUGAAAGAAGAAAGAUGGAAGAGGAGAAAAAGCAAAGACUGAGAGACUUGAGGUGGUCGACAAUAUCGGGACUUUACUUGGCUCCUGAUUAGAAUAUGCUGGAAAAGCUGAGAUGCUACUUGAGUUGCAAAGACACUUGCAAAUUAAGAGUGGCCCAACCUUCGUAAAAAAUGUACCCCCUUGCCAGUGUCGCAGACCAAAGGUACUAGGAUAAAACGUCAGUUGGAAGACGGUUUUUUCUCCGAAGUGGUGGCUGGGGUUGAGGCACACUACUGGGCCGGCAGAGUUUGCGUCCUGCUCCCACAGAAGUCACCUCAGUACUCCAGGACGCACGACACCCUCCCCAUGCCCGAAACACUGGGUGCGGCUCCAGAAGGCGCCUCGCAGCGCUGGCUGCAGGAAUCCAAAGUAGCUCAGUGCACAGACUUUCAACUCCAGCCUGGGGUUACUCAGCAAUUCUCUUCUAUAAACACCUCCCCCAAAAGACUCAGCAUCCCCAGUACCUCCCCAACUUCCCCGAGGCGCAGAGAUCAGCAAGAGCCCCGCCCCUCGACCCAGGGGACGGGAUCCUGUAAGUCUCACCUGCCUAUCUCCAUCCCAGGCCUCGGGCACGAGGGUGGUUGUACUAUCCUGGUUAUGGUAGCUCCACUCGAGCAAGCUUUAUUUUAACAUAUAAGCUAUUCGUUUAGUGG
rnacentral:lncRNA from 1 species